rnacentral:rRNA from 1 species
GCAGUCGAACGGCAGCAUGAUCUAGCUUGCUAGAUUGAUGGCGAGUGGCGAACGGGUGAGUAAUACAUCGGAACGUGCCCUGUAGUGGGGGAUAACUAGUCGAAAGAUUAGCUAAUACCGCAUACGACCUGAGGGUGAAAGUGGGGGACCGCAAGGCCUCAUGCUAUAGGAGCGGCCGAUGUCUGAUUAGCUAGUUGGUGAGGUAAAGGCUCACCAAGGCGACGAUCAGUAGCUGGUCUGAGAGGACGAUCAGCCACACUGGGACUGAGACACGGCCCAGACUCCUACGGGAGGCAGCAGUGGGGAAUUUUGGACAAUGGGGGCAACCCUGAUCCAGCAAUGCCGCGUGUGUGAAGAAGGCCUUCGGGUUGUAAAGCACUUUUGUCCGGAAAGAAAUCGCACUUACUAAUAUUAGGUGUGGAUGACGGUACCGGAAGAAUAAGGACCGGCUAACUACGUGCCAGCAGCCGCGGUAAUACGUAGGGUCCAAGCGUUAAUCGGAAUUACUGGGCGUAAAGCGUGCGCAGGCGGUUGUGCAAGACCGAUGUGAAAUCCCCGGGCUUAACCUGGGAAUUGCAUUGGUGACUGCACGGCUAGAGUGUGUCAGAGGGGGGUAGAAUUCCACGUGUAGCAGUGAAAUGCGUAGAGAUGUGGAGGAAUACCGAUGGCGAAGGCAGCCCCCUGGGAUAACACUGACGCUCAUGCACGAAAGCGUGGGGAGCAAACAGGAUUAGAUACCCUGGUAGUCCACGCCCUAAACGAUGUCAACUAGUUGUUGGGGAUUCAUUUCCUUAGUAACGUAGCUAACGCGUGAAGUUGACCGCCUGGGGAGUACGGUCGCAAGAUUAAAACUCAAAGGAAUUGACGGGGACCCGCACAAGCGGUGGAUGAUGUGGAUUAAUUCGAUGCAACGCGAAAAACCUUACCUACCCUUGACAUGCCACUAACGAAGCAGAGAUGCAUUAGGUGCUCGAAGGAGAAAGUGGACACAGGUGCUGCAUGGCUGUCGUCAGCUCGUGUCGUGAGAUGUUGGGUUAAGUCCCGCAACGAGCGCAACCCUUGUCUCUAGUUGCUACGAAAGGGCACUCUAGAGAGACUGCCGGUGACAAACCGGAGGAAGGUGGGGAUGACGUCAAGUCCUCAUGGCCCUUAUGGGUAGGGCUUCACACGUCAUACAAUGGUGCAUACAGAGGGUUGCCAAGCCGCGAGGUGGAGCUAAUCCCAGAAAAUGCAUCGUAGUCCGGAUCGUAGUCUGCAACUCGACUACGUGAAGCUGGAAUCGCUAGUAAUCGC